GCUGGGUGUGGUGGCGUGCACCUGUAGUCCCAGCUAUUCGGGAGGCUGAGGCAGGAGGAUUGUUUGAGCCCAGGAAGUUGAGGCCACAGUGAGUGGUGACUGCACCACUGCACUCUAGCCUGGGCAACAGAACAAGAUCCUGCCUCUG
ensembl:misc_RNA Metazoa_SRP Metazoan signal recognition particle RNA